GCUCUCCGACAACAUGGAUCAGCUACUGUGACCAAGGGAUCACGGCGGUACGACCGGUGGUGGUGAGGAACAUGGCGGCUCCGCCUCGAACGCCUUUCUCUCCUCUCGGCUCAUGCUCUCCAUCUCACGGAUCCGAUACGUAACAACAACGCAACGGAUGUGACGGCAGGUAACGAGUCUGUGAUAACAUGGGCUGCUCCUCGGGUGAUGAACCAUGGCUCCGGUGGGAUGAGGUUAGAUGGUUCACGGUGGUGGUGGUGCUUGCGUCUCGCAUCUCCUAACAACAACGCACAGCUUCAUAAAGAAGGAGAAGAAGAACGUGGGAAUAAAGGAGGAAAGAGAUGGAGAAGAGGG
rnacentral:lncRNA from 1 species